rnacentral:rRNA from 1 species
UACGUAGGGGGGCAAGCGUUGUCCGGAAUCAUUGGGCGUAAAGCGCGUGUAGGCGGCCCGGUAAGUCCGCUGUGAAAGUCGGGGGCUCAACCCUCGAAUGCCGGUGGAUACUGUCGGGCUAGAGUGCGGGAGAGGCGAGUGGAAUUCCUGGUGUAGCGGUGAAAUGCGCAGAUAUCAGGAGGAACACCGGUGGCGAAGGCGGGUCUCUGGGCCGAUAUUGACGCUGAGGUGCGAAAGCGUGGGGAGCAAACAGG